CUUGGUCAUUUAGAGGAAGUAAAAGUCGUAACAAGGUCUCCGUAGGUGAACCUGCGGAGGGAUCAUUACCGAGUGAGGGCCUUCGGGCUCGACCUCCAACCCUUUGUGAACACAACUUGUUGCUUCGGGGGCGACCCUGCCGUUCCGACGGCGAGCGCCCCCGGAGGCCUUCAAACACUGCAUCUUUGCGUCGGAGUUUAAGUAAAUUUAAACAAAACUUUCAACAACGGAUCUCUUGGUUCUGACAUCGAUGAAGAACGCAGCGAAAUGCGAUAAGUAAUGUGAAUUGCAGAAUUCAGUGAAUCAUCGAAUCUUUGAACGCACAUUGCGCCCUCUGGUAUUCCGGAGGGCAUGCCUGUUCGAGCGUCAUUUCACCACUCAAGCCUGGCUUGGUAUUGGGCGCCGCGGUGUUCCGCGCGCCUCAAAGUCUCCGGCUGAGCUGUCCGUCUCCAAGCGUUGUGAUUUCAUUAAUCGCUUCGGGGUGCGGGCGGCCGCGGCCGUUAAAUCUUUCACAAGGUUGACCUCGGAUCAGGUAGGGAUACCCGCUGAACUUAAGCAUAUCAAUAAGCGGAGGA
rnacentral:rRNA from 1 species